CGCCCACGAGCCGGCUCGAACACGCCCGCGCCGCUGACUGGCGGGUGGGGUUGUCGACACGUUCAACCCGUUCUGCUGGCUCGAGAACGAAGUAGGCCGUCUCGCUCUGGGUCUCCAGGCCCGCGACCGUCCGCCAGUCGUCCCGAGGCCACUCUUCACCUCCACCAUGAGCCUGGACAUCCAGAGCCUGGACAUCCAGUGUGAGGAGCUGAGCGACGCUAGAUGGGCCGAGCUCCUCCCUCUGCUCCAGCAGUGCCAAGUGGUCAGGCUGGACGACUGUGGCCUCACGGAAGCACGGUGCAAGGACAUCAGCUCUGCACUUCGAGUCAACCCUGCACUGGCAGAGCUCAACCUGCGCAGCAACGAGCUGGGCGAUGUCGGCGUGCAUUGCGUGCUCCAGGGCCUGCAGACCCCCUCCUGCAAGAUCCAGAAGCUGAGCCUCCAGAACUGCUGCCUGACGGGGGCCGGCUGCGGGGUCCUGUCCAGCACACUACGCACCCUGCCCACCCUGCAGGAGCUGCACCUCAGCGACAACCUCUUGGGGGAUGCGGGCCUGCAGCUGCUCUGCGAAGGACUCCUGGACCCCCAGUGCCGCCUGGAAAAGCUGCAUUGUCCUUUGCAAGGCACAGCUGCCCCAGGACCCGACGGUGGGAACAGAUGCCUGGCCGUGAGUCAGGUUCCACUCACCGCCUCAGUGUGUGUGGGGGAC
rnacentral:misc_RNA from 1 species